GGGAAGUCGGUGUGAAUCCGACGCGGUGCCGCCGCUGUAACCGGGAACUCUUCGAACGAUCAGGAACCGAUUGCCCACUCCGGAAUCCGGGGGAAGGCUGUUCGAAGGGGACGAUCCGGGAGCCAGAAGACC
rnacentral:ncRNA from 1 species